CUUAGACACUACAAACUUAGAUUUAAAAUUUAACUAACUCUAAAUUCCGGAGGCGCCCAAGGGGCUUUAUUUGAAUUGUAGCACUGGAAAUCGGCAGCCUCUCAUUUCCAAAGCUUCAAGCAAUGGUACACUCAUCAAUUAGCUAGUCCCUGUGAAUACUUUGAGAUGAUUAAUAGCAUUAAUCUAAUGGAACAAACAGUGACUGUUGUCAAUAAUUUUUUUAGAGCAGCUCAAGGUGGGGUCAGUUUAUUUCACUUCAUGACCUUUGAGUCAACAAUCUUCUGGUCCUCUCUGAGAGACUAGCUUCGACUAAUUCUGAAGCAACAAAUGCUUGUUUUUCUAUGAUGGAUCAUGAGUGAACACUUAAUUCUGCCGAGUCAAGAGUCCCUUUCAGGUGAUCCCAAGACCCUUCAAACUGGCAAUUAUCCAAAUGAAGAAUACAUUAUGAUUACAUAUUCUUCUGUUUAAACCUUUGUGAUCCGUUAUAACAUGUUCUUUAUCGUCCAAAUGAAGAAUAAAUGACGACUUCUCCUGUUUAAAACUUUGUGUCCGAUUCCAUCACAUCCCAUUUUAUCCAAAUGAAAAAGACUCGGCAAUGAUGACGAGAGAAAGAAAUGAUGUGAAUAAAAAAAUCGACAAUUUUCUCCCUUCUUAACUUUUUUAUUAAUAGCAACAUUC